UGGACUAAACAGGUCACCUGCAGACGGAGUCUCAGUGGCGUGAUCCUGGUUCACUGCAACCUCUGGGCCCCCCCCAACCCACUGCGAGUUCAAGCAAUUCUGCCUCAGCCUCCCAAGUAGCUGGGACUACAGGCUGGAGUGCAAUGGCGCGAUCUCGGCUCAUUGAAACCUCAGCCUCCCACGUGUAAGCAGUUCUCCUGCCUCAGCCUCCUGAGUAGCUGGGAUUAACAUGUGUGCCACCACACCAGCCAAUUUUUGUAUUUUUAGUAGAGACGGGGUUUCACCAUGUUGCCCAGGCUGGUCUCGAACCGCUGGUCUUAGACCCCUGACCUCAGGUAUUUUAUGCAUGGGGUUUGUAAGGAAGGAGACAACUGUCGCUACUCGCAUGACCUCUCUGACAGUCCGUAUAGUGUAGUGUGCAAGUAUUUUCAGCGAGGGUACUGUAUUUAUGGAGACCGCUGCAGAUAUGAACAUAGCAAACCAUUGAAACAGGAAGAAGCAACUGCUACAGAGCUAACUACAAAGUCAUCCCUUGCUGCUUCCUCAAGUCUCUCAUCGAU
rnacentral:lncRNA from 10 species